GAAAUGCGAUAAGUAGUGUGAAUUGCAGAAUUCAGUGAAUCAUCGAAUCUUUGAACGCACAUUGCGCCCCUUGGUAUUCCAUGGGGCAUGCCUGUUCGAGCGUCAUUUGUACCCUCAAGCUCUGCUUGGUGUUGGGUGUUUGUCCACUCCCUGGUGUCUGGACUCGCCUUAAAGCAAUUGGCAGCCAGUGUUUUGGUAUUGAAGCGCAGCACAUUUUGCGUCUCCAGCCUAGAACGCUUGCGUCCAGUAAGCCUUUUUCCACUUUUGACCUCGGAUCAGGUAGGGAUACCCGCUGAACUUAA
rnacentral:misc_RNA from 2 species